rnacentral:rRNA from 1 species
UACGUAGGGUGCAAGCGUUGUCCGGAAUUAUUGGGCGUAAAGAGCUCGUAGGCGGUCUGUCGCGUCGGCUGUGAAAACUCGGGGCUCAACUCCGAGCUUGCAGUCGAUACGGGCAGGCUAGAGUUCGGCAGGGGAGACUGGAAUUCCUGGUGUAGCGGUGAAAUGCGCAGAUAUCAGGAGGAACACCGAUGGCGAAGGCAGGUCUCUGGGCUGUAACUGACGCUGAGGAGCGAAAGCAUGGGGAGCGAACAGG